AGCGAACGCUGGCGGCAUGCCUAACACAUGCAAGUCGAACGAGACCUUCGGGUCUAGUGGCGCACGGGUGCGUAACGCGUGGGAAUCUACCCUUGGGUUCGGAAUAACAGUUAGAAAUGACUGCUAAUACCGGAUGAUGACGAAAGUCCAAAGAUUUAUCGCCCAUGGAUGAGCCCGCGUAAGAUUAGCUUGUUGGUGGGGUAAUGGCCUACCAAGGCGACGAUCUUUAGCUGGUCUGAGAGGAUGAUCAGCCACACUGGGACUGAGACACGGCCCAGACUCCUACGGGAGGCAGCAGUGGGGAAUAUUGGACAAUGGGCGAAAGCCUGAUCCAGCAAUGCCGCGUGAGUGAUGAAGGCCUUAGGGUUGUAAAGCUCUUUUACCAGGGAUGAUAAUGACAGUACCUGGAGAAUAAGCUCCGGCUAACUCCGUGCCAGCCGCCGCCGUAAGAC
rnacentral:rRNA from 1 species